UGAAUUCCAAAAAGAGGGUGCGUUGAUCUCAGCUGCUGGUCACGCACAUGGAUGUUACGAGAAAAUGGAAGCAGCUCGGUCAAGAAGAUGAUUAACUUUUAGAGAAAAGCAAGAAGCGGUGAUUCAAUGGAAGUGCUGCAAUGCGGUGAUGGAAUUAGAGUGAUGAGUUGAUUUUAUUUUUAAGCCUAUGGUCAAGCUGCUGCGUGUCACGGCCUGGUAAAAAAAAAAUAAGUGCUAAUUUUAUUUCAAGAUUAAACACAUGCGAGAAUUAUUUUUGGAGGAGAACUCAGUGAUUA
rnacentral:lncRNA from 1 species